GACGAACGCUGGCGGCGCGCCUAACACAUGCAAGUCGAACGAGCGAGAGAGAGCUUGCUUUCUCGAGCGAGUGGCGAACGGGUGAGUAACGCGUGAGGAACCUGCCUCAAAGAGGGGGACAACAGUUGGAAACGACUGCUAAUACCGCAUAAGCCCACGACCCGGCAUCGGGUAGAGGGAAAAGGAGCAAUCCGCUUUGAGAUGGCCUCGCGUCCGAUUAGCUAGUUGGUGAGGUAACGGCCCACCAAGGCGACGAUCGGUAGCCGGACUGAGAGGUUGAACGGCCACAUUGGGACUGAGACACGGCCCAGACUCCUACGGGAGGCAGCAGUGGGGAAUAUUGCACAAUGGGGGAAACCCUGAUGCAGCGACGCCGCGUGGAGGAAGAAGGUCUUCGGAUUGUAAACUCCUGUUGUUGAGGAAGAUAAUGACGGUACUCAACAAGGAGGUGACGGCUAACUACGUG
rnacentral:rRNA from 1 species